GUGUGGGUGUGAGGUCAUGAUAUCAUGGAGCAGCCGUUAAUCAGUGUGAUGAAUGAGUUGGCGUUAAAUGCAAAGGAAACAUUGCAUCAGCUAUGGGCUGGCAUUGUAGGCUACAAUCCAGGAACUAAGGACAUGCCUUUCUGACAAGUGCUGGGUCCCCACCAGGGACAUUCUGGACCUAGGCCUCAUCGCGGAUUUCCAAUGCCAACACCCCGGUUAACCAGUUUCCCUGGUGUUGACCAUUCUGCCUACCCUGACCCUGACCCUGAGACUGCCUGCCAUCCUGUACCUUUGCCCCACCUAUCUGGAUUACUGACCUCUGCGUGCCCAUGGCCCAUCUUUUGCCUGUCCCUGUUCGAUUAAUAAACUGUUGUU